CUCGCCUGCUUCCCGAACUCCCAUCCUUCUUCCCGAAGUCUGCUGCCUCCCCCCGUCCAAAAUCCUCGCGUGCUCCCUGGCUCCUCUAAUCCCGACACCUCUUCUUCUCCCUACGGCUCGACUCGCACACUCCCUGCCUCCCAACGCCUCUUCUUCUCCCUUAAUCCCAUUUCGCAAUGUAUACUUCCUACAAAGAUAGAAGUUAUGAGAGAAAAUUCUAUUAUUGUAUACUAAAUCAAUCGGACAAUGAUUGCAAAUAUUUCAAGCGACAGAUUUUAAAUUUGUUGACGGUGAUGCUGAAAGGUUAGCAAUGGAUGGCAUGAUGAAGAAGAACUUUGAAGAUAUCAAAUAUCUUAUCAUGCUGUUGAUUUCAAUCAAUGUUGUAAAUAUAGUUAUUAUGUUAUUAUCAAGGGAAAAACAUUUUUAUUAUUAAAGGCGAUAAUGAGUUGUGAAGUUGUCCAAGUAUUUUGAAGCAUGAACUUUUGUAAAAUUAAUUAUGUAGUAUUGUAGUGCUAAGUCUUCGAUUGUUUUAGUUAGCUUCCUUAAGGCAUGCUUGUACUUGAAAAACCCUCUGUAGUAUUUUCAAUAGAUAUGUGAUUGAGUUAA